AUAAUAAUUAGCUCACAGGCAGAGUUUCCAGGCGCUUCCAGGAGCAUCAAUCACCGGGAUGAAUGGGAAGCCCGUGUGUGGGAACUGCAGGGGGAGCUGGGUGCAGAGCCACCUCAGCCCUGUCACCCUGCGCGUGUCUCUGCCAUGCUUCCUUGGAUCCCUAUCUACCCCGUUUUGGGUGACAGGACGAGUUGGGCCAGUUACCAGGAUCUUGUCGCCUGGUUCUGAUGGUGUCUUGGUUCCCGGCUGGGGUUUUGUGUUUACCACGAGCGUUGCCUGCUGUCGGGGAGCUGCGUGUGUUUCACAACAAACAGGGAGCCAGGGAGACCACCCUGCGGGGCUGCCCCUUCCCUCAGCGCUUUCUGCUUGGGUCGCUGGCGUCUUGCAGUGCCUUCGUUCGUCUGUGGUGUGAGGUGCUGGUCCAGGCUUACGCGCUAACAGUGAAUUAGAAGGAGAAAACGCUCUGCGAGUGCAGCGGAAGGUCAAUAUGGAGCCUGGUUUGCUUUUAGAAUCUUCCCAAGGCCGAUGGGCUUCCUCUUCCCUCCUGACCAGAGGCUUUGAUGCCCCUGCCCUGGGCUGCCUGGUUCCUGCCCCGAGUCUUCAGAAAGAUCCCCGGGCCUGGAGACUGUGAGUUCAGGUUCAGAUGCCUUGCGUGGCCUGUGAAUCCUGGGUCUGGUCUCUGUCCCCAGGCCGGUGUUCAGGGACCACCUUGAGCACCAAAGGCAGCCCAGUCCGGCUUUGACUCAGCUCCCAGGGCGGAGUCCCUUGCCCAGCACUGGGCAGGAGGAGGGCAUCCUCAGGGCAAGGUCUGCCAUCAGCAGACCAGAGCCAGAGCCCGCAGCCCCUGAGCACUUUCAGAUUCCUGCAGCGCAGAGAGGUUUUCCGGGAGGGAAGGGAGGACCCUGUGGCUGGAGAAAUCCCGCCGCGAACACCCAGCGACCAGGUCUACAGCAGCACCAGGUCUGUGCUUCCCCCUGGUGGUCACAGAUUUUACUACACGCGGCCCACAAGUAAAAUGAGUUUCUCUUCAGUGGCCCGGUUAUCUUCUGUCGUGUAGGAGGAAGUCCAGAGCCACGGAAAUUCGCCUGAGUCGAAGCUGUUAAAGAGGCCAAGAAUUCCCAAGCUUUCCCAGGCAAACGGGGAAGAACACUGGGAUGCCUUUUCCUCCUCCUCUGUCCAUCUGCAGGCCAAGUGUGCAUCAGUCACAGGCAAACUCUGAAUUGAGCUUUGUGCAAGUCUCUGGAAAGAGACCCAAGAUCGUGUGAUGAGCAAAAGUGACAGUGCUGGAGGCAGCGACAUCUGCAGAGCCAGCCCCAUCCCUAUCUGCAGCAGAAUAUGUAUGGGGAUCCUUUAUGUGAACAAUCCACCCAGGGUAGAAUGGGGCUUUUGACAUCAGCUGAGACCCAGGCGGCCUUACAAUGAGAGGGCUGUUGGUCAAAGGAAGGACUGUUUAAUGAACUGAGAAUCUGAGGCCAGCUCUGGCCAUCUGCACUUGGAAUCAUUAGAGCAACUCUACUGUAACUGGCAACCUUGAAUAAUGCAGCAAAUUCAUAUUCCAAAAUUGUGAACUUUAAAAUUUUGUGUUUGUGUCUAUGAUGAAAAGCAUUAUAUAAACAUUUGAUACUACAAUUUUAUUAGUAAGGAAGGCUGAAAAAGUAUCUCUCUUUUGACUCUGAGGUCAAUAAUGAUAAUGGCUUUUCCCCUACACUGGGAUAGAAAUGUUCUGUCAAGGAUAUGAAAACACUUUAUGAAAAUGAAAUUCAUUAAAGCCCUUAAUAAUCAGGUAGGGAAGGCAGGUGCUCACAAUUGUCACCUGUUGGUGAGUGAACACCUUAGGCUCGGGGAGGACAAUGACUCAAGAACAAGGUCGAAUUGCAGGUGGGGGGUGAAGCUGAUCCCUAACAGUGUCCUCCAGCCCCUGGCACUGAGGAAGGACAUGGAGGGCUUGCAUCGACUUUUCCUGGCAGGCUUGUGAUUCCCAGCCAGAAUGCAGGUGGCAAUGUUGUGAUUCCUGGCGUAACCUUCAAUGCUUCAAUGAUAAUCUCUGCUGGUGCCAGGCACCAGCUGAGUGUCACUGUGCAGCUCCCAGGCUUAAGUGAUGCAUGCCGAGGUUUUCAGAGCAGUCUCUCAUUUAUUAGUUGUGUUGGAAAGAAAUCUGUACUACCUAACUGGGUACCUCUGGAUUUUAACAGCUGUGGUUUAUAAGAGAUAUGAGAGGGGGUUUGUUUUCAAAGUGCCUUUCACAAAGUAACACCUUAGACUGUAGUUUACAUUCCAUUCCAGUAGGAUAACUUGCAACACUUCUGUGCUCAGAAAUCCAACUGUGCAAGAAAAGUCAGGUUAUAUUUUCAUACAGCCCGUUCUGGCAAAUAUGCCUUCACACCACUUUCCCUCCUCCUCACCGCUAUUGGCAAUAGUCCCAAUGGAAGAGUUUUAUGUCAAAUGCUGAGUAUCUUGGAAGCUGUCCUGCACAGACACGACUGCUUGGCUGCGUGUUGGAGAGUCGCGGUUGGACUGGGAGACCAGGAAGGUCCCUUCUGGUCUGAGAUGUGAUGACUCUAGAACUAAUUAGUUUCAACUCAUAACACGAAAUGAUACUAGCUACCAUUUGGUGGGCUUUUUCUGUGUUCCAGGCUCUGUGCUAAGAUCUUAGCAUUACUCUAAUUACAAAAUCCCUGCCAAUAUUAUCCUCAGUUUACGCAAGAACAAAUGGGUUUAGGGAAAUCAAAAACUUGUCCAAUGACACAGAUUUAAGAUUUAGCAACUGAUGGCCACGUGGAAAUGGAUUACAGAUUAUUCUAAUUGGACACUCUAAACGUGCAAUUUAACCAGAAUGAAAUUUAGGGCUGCGUGCUGUGGCUCAUGCCUGUAAUCCUAGCACUUUGGGAAGCCAGGUGUAUCCCUUAAGCCCAGGAGUUUGAGAGCAACUUGGGCAACAUGGUGAAACCUGUAUCUACAAAAAAUACAAAAAUUAGCCAGGUGAGGUGGUGUAUGCCUGUAGUUCCAGCUACUUGGGAGGCUGAGAGAUGGGAGGAUUGGUUGAGCCUAGGAGGUCGAGGCUGCUGUGAGCUGUGAUGGUUCCACUGCACUCCAGCCUGGGCGACAGAGACAGACUCCAUCUCAAAAAAAAAAAAAAAAAAAGUAGCUACCUUGUGGUUGCACUCGUCUGAGACUAGCUCAUGGCUCCAGCUCUCAGGGUGGUGAGUAAUGAUUCUGUGGUCAGACGCAGUUUUGAAGUCAGGCAAGAAAACCUUCAACAAGAGUUAGAGAUGUCCUGUCUAUGAAUUUCUCCUCUAGGCUUAGGGAUAGCCCUGGGAUUCAUGUCAUGCCAGUUAGGGAUCCACUCAUUGUAAGCAAUACAAGUGCCCCCGAAGAGACAGUGCAUUAAUUGUCACCCCUUAGGAGCAUUGUGUGAAUUAGUGUGAUUUAGCACAUGCCCAGAGGGAUGAAACUCUAGCUCCAUAGGGUAGGUCCUGAUUACUCCUGGAGCAGGCAGCCAGCUCAGCUCAUGGGGAGCUCUGAGAAGUCUCUCAAUGCCUCGCAUGCAGCCCCUGCUCAGGAGUCAUGUGUCACUUCACAGUCUUGCUUUCCAGUGGGUCAAAGCAUGAUGUUUAUGAGAAACAAAUACACAAAAUUCUGACUUGUGUGAAUACAGAACACGUGCAAUAAAACGACUGCAAUCUAUUUUUAAAAUGUGGUCUGAGAAGUCAGGUUUAAUAUGACUAUGUAAUAUAUAAACAAUAUAUUUUCCACAGAAAGGAAAAUAUAAAUAAUAAAAUAUGUCUAUUUCUUUUUUUUGGUGGAAAAUUACUCCCACAAUUUGGUCCCAAGGGGGUCUUAAUUUGUCAUCAGGUCUGUGGCUAAAUGUCUUAUAAAGGAAUGCUUCUUUCUUUCGAGAAGUGUACAGGAACAGUCUGCACUGACUGCUUUUACCUGUAAAUGUUUUGAGAAUUCAGAAGUCACUUUCCUUCCACAAUAGGUGCUAGGCAUUUUAUUUAAAUAAAGCAAAAACAUUUCUGUCAUAAAGAAGGUGUUAAUAACCUCAAAGCUAUGCGAAAUAUACUAGUACAAUCUAAUACUCAUGGUGAAAAAUACAGUAAUUAAGAGCAAUUCAAGUUUUUUUGUUUUGGUUUAACUUCAGAAUUAAAAUAAACUCAGAAUUAAAAAAAUAAAAAAUGGUUUUAUUACAUGUCAGAGUAUUGAGAUACAAAAUAUAUACCAGAU
rnacentral:lncRNA from 1 species